rnacentral:lncRNA from 1 species
UCCCCUUUUCUUUUUUUUUGAAUUUCUUUUCUUAAAAAAGGUUUAAAUGAAACUUUUGAAGCUUUUACAAAACUUUUUAGGGGUUGGAGUAAAAAGAAGAAUUGUUCCCCAUGAAAUUCCCUACAACUUUGCUUUAAUAAGUGAAGCCAAAUUCCAAAUAGAAUUUGAAUCACAUAUUAAUACUAUUUCUAGGUUUUUAAAUAAAUUCAUUUUAGGG